UAUCAGAAGUGCGAAUGCUGACAUAAGUAACGAUAAAGCGGGUGAAAAGCCCGCUCGCCGGAAGACCAAGGGUUCCUGUCCAACGUUAAUCGGGGCAGGGUGAGUCGACCCCUAAGGCGAGGCCGAAAGGCGUAGUCGAUGGGAAACGGGUUAAUAUUCCCGUACUUGGUGUUACUGCGAAGGGGGGACGGAGAAGGCUAUGUUGGCCGGGCGACGGUUGUCCCGGUUUAAGCGUGUAGGUGUGUGUUCCAGGUAAAUCCGGUUCACUUUAACACUGAGGCGUGAUGACGAGGCACCACGGUGCUGAAGCAACAAAUGCCCUGCUUCCAGGAAAAGCCUCUAAGCAUCAGGUAACAUCAAAUCGUACCCCAAACCGACACAGGUGGUCAGGUAGAGAAUACCAAGGCGCUUGAGAGAACUCGGGUGAAGGAACUAGGCAAAAUGGUGCCGUAACUUCGGGAGAAGGCACGCUGACACGUAGGUGAAGUGAUUUACUCAUGGAGCUGAAGUCAGUCGAAGAUACCAGCUGGCUGCAACUGUUUAUUAAAAACACAGCACUGUGCAAACACGAAAGUGGACGUAUACGGUGUGACGCCUGCCCGGUGCCGGAAGGUUAAUUGAUGGGGUCAGCGCAAGCGAAGCUCCUGAUCGAAGCCCCGGUAAACGGCGGCCGUAACUAUAACGGUCCUAAGGUAGCGAAAUUCCUUGUCGGGUAAGUUCCGACCUGCACGAAUGGCGUAAUGAUGGCCAGGCUGUCUCCACCCGAGACUCAGUGAAAUUGAACUCGCUGUGAAGAUGCAGUGUACCCGCGGCAAGACGGAAAGACCCCGUGAACCUUUACUAUAGCUUGACACUGAACAUUGAGCCUUGAUGUGUAGGAUAGGUGGGAGGCUUUGAAGCGUGGACGCCAGUCUGCGUGGAGCCGACCUUGAAAUACCACCCUUUAAUGUUUGAUGUUCUAACGUGGACCCGUAAUCCGGGUUGCGGACAGUGUCUGGUGGGUAGUUUGACUGGGGCGGUCUCCUCCUAAAGAGUAACGGAGGAGCACGAAGGUUGGCUAAUCCUGGUCGGACAUCAGGAGGUUAGUGCAAUGGCAUAAGCCAGCUUGACUGCGAGCGUGACGGCGCGAGCAGGUGCGAAAGCAGGUCAUAGUGAUCCGGUGGUUCUGAAUGGAAGGGCCAUCGCUCAACGGAUAAAAGGUACUCCGGGGAUAACAGGCUGAUACCGCCCAAGAGUUCAUAUCGACGGCGGUGUUUGGCACCUCGAUGUCGGCUCAUCACAUCCUGGGGCUGAAGUAGGUCCCAAGGGUAUGGCUGUUCGCCAUUUAAAGUGGUACGCGAGCUGGGUUUAGAACGUCGUGAGACAGUUCGGUCCCUAUCUGCCGUGGGCGCUGGAAGACUGAGGGGGGCUGCUCCUAGUACGAGAGGACCGGAGUGGACGCAUCACUGGUGUUCGGGUUGUCAUGCCAAUGGCACUGCCCGGUAGCUAAAUGCGGAAAAGAUAAGUGCUGAAAGCAUCUAAGCACGAAACUUGCCCCGAGAUGAGUCUUCCCUGAGACCUUGAGUCUCCUGAAGGAACGUUAAAGACGAUGACGUUGAUAGGCCGGGUGU
rnacentral:rRNA from 1 species